GACGAACGCUGGCGGCGUGCUUAACACAUGCAAGUCGAACGAUGAAGCUGGAGCUUGCUCCGGUGGAUUAGUGGCGAACGGGUGAGUAACACGUGAGCAAUCUGCCCUUGACUCUGGGAUAACUGCGGGAAACUGUAGCUAAUACCGGAUACUUUCACUGGAAGGCAUCUUCUGGUGAAGAAAGAAUUUCGGUCAAGGAUGAGCUCGCGGCCUAUCAGCUUGUUGGUGAGGUAACGGCUCACCAAGGCGACGACGGGUAGCCGGCCUGAGAGGGUGACCGGCCACACUGGGACUGAGACACGGCCCAGACUCCUACGGGAGGCAGCAGUGGGGAAUAUUGCACAAUGGGCGCAAGCCUGAGGCAGCAACGCCGCGUGAGGGAUGAAGGCCUUCGGGUUGUAACCUCUUUUAGCAGGGAAGAAGCGAAAGUGACGGUACCUGCAGAAAAAGCACCGGCUAACUACGUGCCAGCAGCCGCCGUAA
rnacentral:rRNA from 1 species